UCCCUGUUACCAGGGCAGUCUAGCUAGAGAAAUACAACUAACUAUAAGGGUUGCGCUCGUUGAUGGACUUAACCAAACAUCUCACGACACGAGCUGACGACGGCCAUGCAUCACCUGUCACUGCGGCCCGAAGGCACAUUCUCCUUUCGGAAAACUUGGCAGGAUGUCAAGCCUGGGUAAGGUUCUUCGCUUACCAUCGAAUUAAACAACACGCUCCACCGCUUGUGCGGGUCCCCGUCAAUUCCUUUAUGUUUUAAGCUUGCGCUCGUACUCCACAGGCGGGAUGCUUAACGCGUUAGCUACGCUACUAGAAGGGUCGAUACUUCUAACAGCUAGCAUCCAUAGUUUACGGCGUGGACUAC
rnacentral:misc_RNA from 1 species